CUCUUUUUUCCAUUCAUCAUUAUUGUUUUUAUUCUGACCUCUUAGAUUGAAGUAUUUGACAUGGAAUCUCCAUAUUUACUAAAAANUAAAAAAAGNUAAUAAUAAAUCUAUAAAUGUUAUACAGAAUGAUCUGGAAAGAGAUACUUUUAUGUCCGCAACCGAAGCUCAAAAUUAUCUGUCGAUCGCAUAGCAAAUUAAAAAAAAAANUCCUUAGUAAUAUGAGUUCUACUGAAAAAANUGGAGAAUUUAUACUACUUAGUUUAUAAAAAAAAANUCGUCUUUUUUCUAUAUUAAUUUUUAAAAAUUAACGAGAAUCAAGUGUAUUAAUCCUCUAGGUAUACUUAUGCAAUAUACCUUUAUUUAUAUUAUAUUUUNAUAAACCUCCGGGUAUACUUACCCNAAUAGAGAUAUUUUAGAGACUAUUAUACUAGUAUAUUUUUUUCCUUACCCAAUAUAUUAGUCUAAAAAACUAAUAUAUUGGGUAUAUUGGGUAUUUCUCAAAUUAAUAUUCAAAUUUUUAAUAUAAUGAACAAUUCAAAAGAUCUAG
rnacentral:misc_RNA from 1 species